AGUGAACGCUGGCGGUAGGCCUAACACAUGCAAGUCGAACGGCAGCACAGGAGAGCUUGCUCUCUAGGUGGCGAGUGGCGGGCGGGUGAGGAAUACAUCGGAAUCUGCCCAGUCGUGGGGGAUAACGGAGGGAAACUUACGCUAAUACCGCAUACGACCUUCGGGUGAAAGAGGGGGAUCGCAAGACCUCUCGCGAUUGGAUGAGCCGAUGUCGGAUUAGCUAGUUAGCGGGGUAAUGGCCCACCAAGGCGACGAGCCGUAGCUGGUCUGAGAGGAUGAUCGGCCACACUGGAACUGAGACACGGUCCAGACUCCUACGGGAGGCACCAGUGGGGAAUAUUGGACAAUGGGCGCAAGCCUGAUCCAGCCAUACCGCGUGGGUGAAGAAGGCCUUCGGGUUGUAAAGCCCUUUUGUUGGUAAAGAAAUCUUUCAGGCUAAUACCCUGGGAGGAUGACGGUACCCAAAGAAUAAGCACCGGCUAACUUCGUG
rnacentral:rRNA from 1 species